rnacentral:rRNA from 1 species
AGUUUGAUCCUGGCUCAGAGCGAACGUUAGCGGCGUGGAUUAGGCAUGCAAGUCGCGCGUGAAAGCCUUCGGGCGAGUAAAGCGGCGGACGGGUGAGUAACACGUAACCAACCUGCCCUCGAGAUCGGGAUAACCGCUGGAAACGGUGGCUAAUACCGGAUGGCCCCCAGAGCCGGCAUCGGCAUUGGGGUAAACGGCUUCGGCUGCUCGGGGAGGGGGUUGCGACCUAUCAGCUAGUUGGUGAGGUAACGGCCCACCAAGGCGAUGACGGGUAGCGGGUCUGAGAGGAUGAUCCGUCACACUGGGACUGAGACACUGCCCAGACUCCUACGGGAGGCUGCAGUCGAGAAUCUUCCGCAAUGGGCGAAAGCCUGACGGAGCGACGCCGCGUGCAGGAUGAAGGCCUUCGGGUUGUAAACUGCUGUCACGCUAUAGGAAAAGCCUUCGGGCCUUGACCAAAGCGAGAGGAAGCACCGGCUAACUCCGUGCCAGCAGCCGCGGUAAGACGGAGGGUGCAAACGUUGCUCGGAAUCACUGGGCAUAAAGCGCACGUAGGCGGCCAACUAAGUCAGGUGUGAAAGCCCCCGGCUCAACCGGGGAAUGGCUCCUGAUACUGGUUGGCUCGAGGACGGUAGGGGUGAGUGGAACUCCAGGUGGAGCGGUGAAAUGCGUAGAUAUCUGGAGGAACACCGGUGGCGAAAGCGGCUCACUGGACCGUCUCUGACGCUGAGGUGCGAAAGCCAGGGUAGCGAACGGGAUUAGAUACCCCGGUAGUCCUGGCCGUAAACGAUGGGCACUAGAUAGGGGGUAAGCCUAUGUUAUUCCCUGUCGUAGCUAAUGUGUUAAGUGCCCCGCCUGGGGAGUACGCUCGCAAGGGUAAAACUCAAAGGAAUUGACGGAAG